GUGCCAGCCGCCGCGGUAAGACGGGGGGUCCAAGCGUUGUUCGGAAUCAUUGGGCGUAAAGCGGGCGUAGGUGGCCAUGUAAGUCAGGAGUGAAAGCCCUGGGCUCAACCCAGGAAGUGCUUUUGAUACUGCAUGGCUUGAAUGUGGGAGAGGAUAGUGGAAUUCCAGGUGUAGUGGUGAAAUACGUAGAUAUCUGGAGGAACACCGGUGGCGAAGGCGGCUAUCUGGCCCAACAUUGACACUGAGGCCCAAAAGCGUGGGGAUCAAACAGGAUUAGAAACCCGCGUAGUCC
rnacentral:rRNA from 1 species